AUUGAACGCUGGCGGCAUGCUUUACACAUGCAAGUCGAACGGUAACAGGCCGCAAGGUGCUGACGGGUGGCGAACGGGUGAGUAAUGCAUCGGAACGUGCCCAGUCGUGGGGGAUAACUACUCGAAAGAGUAGCUAAUACUGCAUACGAUCUAUGGAUGAAAGCGGGGGACCGUAAGGCCUCGCGCGAUUGGAGCGGCCGAUGUCAGAUUAGGUAGUUGGUGGGGUAAAGGCUCACCAAGCCAACGAUCUGUAGCUGGUCUGAGAGGACGACCAGCCACACUGGGACUGAGACACGGCCCAGACUCCUACGGGAGGCAGCAGUGGGGAAUUUUGGACAAUGGGCGCAAGCCUGAUCCAGCAAUGCCGCGUGCAGGAAGAAGGCCUUCGGGUUGUAAACUGCUUUUGUACGGAACGAAACGGCUCUGGUUAAUACCCGGGGCUAAUGACGGUACCGUAAGAAUAAGCACCGGCUAACUACGUG
rnacentral:rRNA from 1 species